UACGAAGGGGGCUAGCGUUGCUCGGAAUUACUGGGCGUAAAGGGCGCGUAGGCGGAUAUCUAAGUUGGGGGUGAAAUCCCGGGGCUCAACCUCGGAACCGCCUUCAAUACUGGAUAUCUUGAGUUCGGGAGAGGUGAGUGGAAUGCCGAGUGUAGAGGUGAAAUUCGUAGAUAUUCGGCGGAACACCAGUGGCGAAGGCGACUCACUGGCCCGAUACUGACGCUGAGGCGCGAAAGCGUGGGGAGCAAACAGG
rnacentral:rRNA from 1 species